AGAACGAACGCUGGCGGCAUGCCUAACACAUGCAAGUCGAACGCUUCCGGGGCUUCGGUCGCGGAGGAGUGGCGCACGGGUGAGUAGCGCGUGGGAACCUGCCCUGUUGUGGGGGAUAACCGAGGGAAACUUCGGCUAAUACCGCAUACGCCCCGGGACUUGGUCUUCGGAUUAGGUCUGGGGGGAAAGAUUGAUCGCAGCAGGAGGGGCCCGCGUCGGAUUAGCUGGUUGGUGGGGUAACGGCUCACCAAGGCGAUGAUCCGUAGCUGGUCUGAGAGGAUGAUCAGCCACACUGGGACUGAGACACGGCCCAGACUCCUACGGGAGGCAGCAGUGGGGGAAUAUUGGACAAUGGGGGCAACCCUGAUCCAGCAAUGCCGCGUGAGUGAUGAAGGCCUUAGGGUUGUAAAGCUCUUUCGCCCGCGACGAUGAUGACGGUAGCGGGAGAAGAGCCCGGCUAACUCGUGCCAGCAGCCGC
rnacentral:rRNA from 1 species